CCGAGUCUACAACUCCCAAACCCCUGUGAACAUACCAAUUGUUGCCUCGGCGGAUCAGCCCGCUCCCGGUAAAACGGGACGGCCCGCCAGAGGACCCCUAAACUCUGUUUCUAUAUGUAACUUCUGAGUAAAACCAUAAAUAAAUCA
rnacentral:misc_RNA from 1 species